UACAGAGGUCCCAAGCGUUGUUCGGAUUCAUUGGGCGUAAAGGGUGCGUAGGCGGCGCGGUAAGUCGGGUGUGAAAGUCCAGGGCUCAACCCUGGGAUGCCGGUCGAUACUGCCGUGACUAGAGGUCGGUAGGGGAGUGUGGAAUUCCUGGUGGAGCGGUGAAAUGCGCAGAUAUCAGGAGGAACACCCGUAGCGAAGGCGGCACUCUGGGCCGAUACUGACACUGAGGAGCGAAAGCGUGGGGAGCGAACAGG
rnacentral:rRNA from 1 species